rnacentral:lncRNA from 1 species
UUUUGAGAACGACAGCCCACAAACAAAUGUCAUGAAACAAAACACCAACAGCGCAUGCCUAUUAUGUUAACUCUUCUCAUACUGAAAUAUUAGAAGUGCCAGACAAUUACAG